ACAUCAGGAUACCAGGCCAGCUGUUUCAGCAUCUGGAACAGAUCGAAGUUCAGUCAAUUCAUAAACCUGACACAGCACCAGAUGAGAAAUACAAAUUUACAACUUAAAGGGAUAGAGUUAUGUAUUUUCUGGUCACAUUGCCAUUUUACAGCACAAUCAAGAAUCUCCAGCUCUUUCUGAAACUCCGCCUUCAGGAAGUCAUUACAACUCCUCAAUUAACUCUUAAACAAUAUUUUUACCAGCCUUGCAGAAAUAAGUUGCUGGUACAAUAAGCAGAUACGCAAUUCCACCAGGUGUCUACUAAUUGUUCCUGGCUAGUCUGAAGGAGCGGAGAAGGGAAGGGCUGCUCCAUCAGGUGGAGACAUUUGGGCAUUCCCAAAAACAUACCAAUGGUCCACCCCUGAACGCCACACAGCCUCCAACAAUUAGCACCAGUUGGAUCAUAAUGUGGUUUUUGCUUUGGUGUUAUAAAAAUUCAGGGUUGCCAGU